GUGGAACUUGGGAUUCGAACGGCAGGCGGGAAGUGCUCUAGCAGGGGAGUCUGACCUUGUGAGGGAAUACCUGUGUCCCCCCUUUUUUCCCCUUUUUACCCAAUAAAACCCUGCCUUACUCACCCUUUAAAUCAUCUGCGAGCCUGAAUUUUCAUGGCCGUGGGACGGACAAGAACUUUAUCUUCAGCUGAACUAAGAAAAAGUCCUGCAACAUUUUUGGCGCGCAAUGUGGGGGCACCAGAAGCGGGCACCGUUGAGCUGUUGCAACUGUUCUGCUGGAGCCUUAUGUAUGUGGUUGAAACCACCUGUACUACUGGAAUGAAAGCACCUUUACAGAAGAGGCAAUGCAAGUUGUAUUCAUCACAUGUGUAGAAUGAAUUAAGAUUUAUGCCAGUUGCAAAGAAGAAUAUUGGCUCACUAUUUUUCCUCUGGGCAUGUGGAAAUGUAAAUCAGUCCAUGUUACUCACCUCGGAGAAGCAGAAGUACGAUUUACUAUUGUUGCUUGCUUACUUACUCUUAUCAAUUUCUAUGAGAGACCAUAUGAUGUCCUGAAAAUUCUUCCACAAUAUUUAACCAACACUUUCCAGAAAAACUUCAUUUAUCUCCAUGUACCAAUAUUUUGGGGUCCAGCCCAAUUCCUGUCCCUUCAGUGAAGCCUUAUUUAAUUUUACCAAUAAAUAAUAGCUCUCUUUUUUG
rnacentral:lncRNA from 1 species